ACAGGUGUGCACAACUUUGAUGUGAGCCUAAAAUGUUCUAAAACAAAGUCUAUAUUUGAAAAGCAAAACUGCUCAGCAGGUGGGCCCAGGAGCAGCAUGUCCACAGCUGAGUGAUGAAUCAGUGACCUGAACGCCGGGGCCCAGGGCCUCCUGCUCUGUAACAGGCUCAGAAAUACAUCUGUGGGAGAGGAGUCCCUGCGGAUGGAGCAGGGCACUGUUGGACACAGUCCCGGCCCUGCCUGUGGGGGUGCCACGGCUUGCAGGGAGUAGAUGCUGUCUAUGCUGCCCAACACCCUGGCCUGCUCUGGCUGCCCGGCAGCAGUGCACUGGCACCCGCGGUAGGGCGAGAUUGAUAGAGGUAAGACCCUGAACUAACUCCAGAAACUCCUAGAAGCGGUAGUCACUGGCACUGGUUUUCGCUUUUAUAGGUGUGUAACAGCUUGUUUACUGUUUUCCCCCGCUGUCUCUGAGACAGGGUCUUGAUGCAUAGCCCAGGCUGAUCUCGACCUUGUGCGGUCUUCCUGCCUCAGGCUCCCAAGUGCGGGGAGUACAGGCAUGCGCCACCACGCCAGGCUGUAAAGUGCCGUCUCUGCCUUCACCUGUGAGUCUCUAGACGGAGCUCGGGCCUGUUUUCUCUCAGCACUGCGCAGACCUCUGCAUUCCCGCUUGCACUGUCUGCGGUGAGGAAUCUGCUGUCUCCCUUUCCCACGGUCUUGGUUUGUUUCCUCGUCUGCCUCUGUGGUUUUGCUCUAUCACAGACUUCAAGCAGUCUUACUCAGUGCGACGUGGAGGGCUUCUCUUCCUGUGCUCGUGUUCUGGGUGCGUCGGGCUUUCCGCAUCAAUGGGUCUCAUGUUCAUCGGUUUGCAGUCUGUUUUUUCUAGAUACUUCUCCACUUUUUGGGAAUAUGUGCUGAUCAGGCACCCCAGGUGCAGCUUGCUGAGCCCUGCGUGUUGGAGGGCCCUGGGCCGUUUCCCCUCCACUCUGGGUGUGAGUGCCGUGUCUUCACGUUCGCGACCUUUCCCUGUGCAGCCUCCGCUCUCGCUAAACUUUCCGUCUCACCACUGGUGUGUAGUUUCCUUCUGGCACUGAAUUUUCCCUGCAUGUUCUCCACCUUCUUAAACUGUUCCUGCUCUUACCGCCCAUACUUGUCAUUUGCACACUGGUUAUUCUGGGUCCCUUUCUACUACUUCCGCCCAGUAGCCAUGGGCCAUGUUUGCUUCUUUGCACACUUUAUAGAAUUGUGGUUUUUUGGUCCCAGGAAUUGAACUCACAGCCUCAUGCUUCCCAGGCAGGCACUGCGCUGCUGAGCUACAUCCUCAGCCCUGUAGUUUUUUAUUGAAUGACACACACUGGGCAUUUUAUUGUGCUGGGCGCAGGAUCUUUUUAACUGAAAACUGUUGAGAUCACUGUAGAUUUAUAUGCAGAUGUGACAAGAUCCUUUACCUGGUUUUCCAUAAUGGUUACAUCUCUGACCACUACCAGGGUGUUGAUGCCGAGUCCGCUGAUCUCACUCGUGUCCCAAGUGUCCUAGCGCUGCGGUACCGCGCACUGAACCCUGGGCCUUCCCACAGAGCUUCUCUCGGGUACUGCGGCAGAGUCCCCGUGAGUCCCUGCCCCCUGGGCUGGGCUUGAACAUUCCCACACAUCGAGUUGGUGGCUGACUCUCACAGUGAGGAACCUUGUCUGCACAUACAUGCCUGGAUUUCCUGUUUUUUCCCCUCUACUUCUCAGUAGCACUCUUUGGACCAUCAGAUAGUAUGAUUUUCAUUUGAUCAUUAUCUGUGACAUAAAAGUCCCUAUCAUCUCCCUUGUUUACAGAUCUUGCUUUAAUUGGUCUUCACAGACAUUCAUCUUACUUCAUCUGAGAUCUUGAUUUUGGUAUCUUUCCUGAAGGAGGUGCUGGAUGCGGAGUUCAUGACUGGCAUCUGUCUUCCUCUCUGCAGUUUAGUGGGACCCUGCCUCCCCUGCUGCUCUCUCUGGCUCCUCCCAGGUGCCCGGACUAUGGUGGCACGGUGCUCAUCGGGGGCGUGCCCACCGUGCCCAGAGCUGUCCUGUGGAAGGAGGCAGGCCAGAUGAGAGGGAGCGCCUGUCUCCGGCACCUCCUGGCCUGCUUGCUGGCCACUACCACGCCAUGAGCAGCUGUCCUCUGCCACCCUGUUUCUGCCAUGGAGCCAGCUGUGCGUGGACUAAACCAUGAGGCAGAGUAAACCGCUCCUUCUUGAACUUGCACCCUGUGCUGCGGAAAGUGACUGAGACAGGCUAGCUCCCCCUGCACCGACAGGGCCCCCUGACACGAGUCUUCUUGGCCAGGAAGCCGGUGCAUCUGUUCCCUGACUGCGCUGCAGCUUGUCAGAGGCAGAAUGCAGGCCCUUCACCCUCGGUGCUGCUCCCUGCCGUGGUGUCUCAGCCUCAGCCGGCGGGGUAGGCAAAAGAACACGGAACCAGGCGCACUGCGCUGGGAGUCAUGUUUUAACAAGAUGCAGCGAAUGAGUGCGAAUGACCUUCCAGUGCCGCGUGCCAGGGGACUGACUGACAGGUCGCACGGAGGUGGAAAGGCCACAGAACCUGGACACAGAACUGCCAGGGAUCCUGCUGUCGCCAGAGCGGGGUGCACGGUGGGCUUCCCGGACCUCUGCCACUCAUGGUCACUCGUGCGUGCGUGCCUGCCUGCGGGCAGCCACGAAGCCCUGCAGCUGUGGUGCCGGAGGCACCGGUUGGAGCCAUCUGUCCUCCAGCCCUGGGGCCUCGCGUGCACAGCCGGCACUGACGUGAGCUAGAAGUUCAGCGAGCUGACGGGAAGAGCUGGCUGGAGGACCCUGGCAGUGUAAACAGGCAGAUAAAGAUGGAAACAACCUUGGGAUAAACAGCACACGAGCUGGAGCCUGCCAAAAACUCAGUGGAAUUUCUGGGCGAAAAAAAGCCUGCUUGACUCGACUCCCAGCGAAGGCUGAGGUGCACAGGAGGCAGGACUUAUUUUAGGACCUGUCAGGGAAGAGGGAGGCGCAUCGACGUGUCCUGCUUGUGGGGCGCACUGAGGGGCACGGGCCGGGCCCCAGCUUUGUGAGCUUUCCUGGUGGAGCUUUAGGGAAGGGCGGUGGUGAGGGCUGUCCUGAGGACACACGCUCAGCUGUUCCCACGAGAUGUGUAAGCGGUGACCCCGGCUGCAAGUGCCUGGAAGAAACCAUGGGCCCGCUGGGCACUGGUGCUCAGACAGGUGACCAACCCUAAACCAAGGUUCAGCUUCCUGUGGUCCCCAGUGAACACCCCGAAGACAGCAAAUGAGAAAGCCGACCAAGGGCAAGGGCCAGGGUGCCCAGCUGAGACCCAGGUUCCCCACCUGAGCAGCAGCCAUCCUGCCUCGCCCCUCAGAAAGGCUGCUCGGCAUCGGGUCCACUGCUGGUGCGUGUGUGCAGGGAGGGUCCGAGGCGCGAGCCUGGGGGCGGGGCUAGCCUGCAGGCCGGUCCUUUGAGGAGCAGGCCAUGCGCACUGAUGCUGACAUAAGCAGAGCACAGGUGGGAGCUCAGGGCCAGGAGGCAGCGGUCUUGGGCACUCAGUGGGGUGCCCAGCUGCCCAGAUUCCCAAUAGGACAGGUCAGCCAGGGGCAUGUGGCGCAGAGCCUGGGGUGCUGCUUUGGCCUGAGAGUGUAGAGACCCCAGGAAGCCAGGAUUCUGGAACUGGGAGCCCCAAAGACAACAGCAGAUCCCAGGCCCCGUAUGUCUGGAUUUCUGCUGUGCAGAACAGAUGACUCAGCUAUCUGGAAGCCUCUUUUUCUCAAGACAGGCCCUCACUGUGUCUCAUGCUGCCCUUGAACUCCCAAUGACCCUCCUGCCUCAGCCUCCUGAGUGCUGGAGUCACAGACACACAUGUGCCACUGUGCCCAGCUUUGAAACGUCAUUUUAAGAGUUAAUCUCUGAUAAUGAAGACAGGAUUUUUCUACAGCACACUCUGCAGUCAGAACCUGUGACUGGACUCUGCUCUGAGUGUAGUCCAGAGAGCAGUCUUUUACCUGCACGGAACACACCUAUCCAUGGAGUGAUGGGCACAGGCAUGCGUCCUUCUACAGGUGCGCUCAGGAGAAAGUCCCACCAGGCAGGCCCAGCCCUGGGUACCAGCGGCCAAAGCAGGUGUGUGGUGGUGCAGCCAGAAGGCGGUGUCUCAGAGGCGGGCUGGAAACAUCACAGUCUCUCUAGCCCAUGUGGGUUUCCCAGAUGCUGAGACGCCCGUUCCCUUCUCACCGCCAGAGUUUCUCUUUAAGAACGGCAACCUGAGCCCUGGAGCUGGCAGCCAGAGGGCAGGCAGCACAUGAAACCGGACACACAUUUAUUUUGCAUUUGACUGCACUGUCUGGAGGUCUAAAGGCCAGAGUGAACCCACUUCCUGUCUGCAGGGCUCUACCUACCAAGCACCGCACCAGCCCUGUAGAUGCCCGGCCCUCCAAGCCCUCCAAGCCCUCCGGGUACCCGACAGGCCCUUGCCGCGCAGGCUCGGUGCAUCAGGCUGGUGUGGGCCAGUCACUUGAGAGUCCCUUGCCCCUUGGGAAGGCCUGGCACUCUGACAAGCAGCUACUGACCCCAAUCCCAUGACCACUGCAGAACCGCCAAGCCCUGCCUGGCCCAAGCCCCAGCCCACUUCUCCCAGGGACAUGGGAGAAAUGAUUCCCUGCCUUUUUGUGAUUUUUAUCAUCUAGAACAACUUCAAAGGGCUCCGAGACGUCCUGGCCACCUCUGGACCCAAAAACAAGAGCUGGUGUUUACGAGCAGACCCAGCUGUGUUUGGACAGAACGAGUAAUGUGGCUUUCAGAGCUGCUUUGUGUGUCUCCUCAGAGGCUGCUGGACCCCACAGCUUUCUGUCUGCUCUAUACAAUGAAAAUACAAACUGAGUGAGUAGAAAAAAAUAAAAGCAUUAAAUUGUACAAAUUACAAAUCUGUUCCAAAAUAUACUUACAUUAAAUAAAAUGCGCAUUUCAGUAA